rnacentral:rRNA from 1 species
AGUGAACGCUGGCGGUAGGCCUAACACAUGCAAGUCGAACGGCAGCACAGUAAUAGCUUGCUCUUACGGGUGGCGAGUGGCGGACGGGUGAGGAAUACAUCGGAAUCUACUUUUUCGCGGGGGAUAACGUAGGGAAACUUACGCUAAUACCGCAUACGACCUACGGGUGAAAGCAGGGGAUCUUCGGACCUUGCGCGAUUGAAUGAGCCGAUGUCGGAUUAGCUAGUUGGCGGGGUAAAGGCCCACCAAGGCGACGAUCCGUAGCUGGUCUGAGAGGAUGAUCAGCCACACUGGAACUGAGACACGGUCCAGACUCCUACGGGAGGCAGCAGUGGGGAAUAUUGGACAAUGGGCGCAAGCCUGAUCCAGCCAUACCGCGUGGGUGAAGAAGGCCUUCGGGUUGUAAAGCCCUUUUGUUGGGAAAGAAAAGCAGCAGGUUAAUACCCCGCUGUUCUGACGGUACCCAAAGAAUAAGCACCGGCUAACUUCGUG